AAGGAUUUAAGUUAAACAAACUAGUAGCCUUCAAAGCUACCAAUAAAGACUUUCUCCUUUAAGCCUUA
rnacentral:tRNA from 1 species